rnacentral:rRNA from 1 species
AUUGAACGCUGGCGGCGUGCUUAACACAUGCAAGUCGAUCGGUAACGCGGGGGCAACCCUGGCGACGAGAGGCGGACGGGUGAGGAACGCUUGGGAAUCUGCCUAUCAGCGGGGGACAACCCGGGGAAACUCGGGCUAAUACCGCAUACGCUCUACGGAGGAAAGCCGGGGACCGCAAGGCCUGGCACUGAUAGAUGAGCCCAAGUCGGAUUAGCUAGUUGGCGGGGUAACGGCCCACCAAGGCGACGAUCCGUAGCUGGGCUGAGAGGACGAUCAGCCACACUGGGACUGAGACACGGCCCAGACUCCUACGGGAGGCAGCAGUGGGGAAUAUUGGACAAUGGGGGGAACCCUGAUCCAGCGACGCCGCGUGGGUGAAGAAGGCCUGCGGGUUGUAAAGCCCUUUCGGUAGGGACGAAAGCUCUCGACCUAACACGUCGGGAGGUUGACUUAACCUACAAAAGAAGCACCGGCUAACUCUGUGCCAGCCGCCGCCGUAA